rnacentral:SRP_RNA from 1 species
GUCAGGUGCAGUGGCACAUGCCUGUAGUACCAGCUACUCAGGAGGCUGAGGCUGGAGGAUCACUUGAGCCCAGGAGUUCUGGGCUGCAGUGCACUACGCCGAUCGGGUGUCUGCACUAAGUUCAACAUCAAUAUGGUGACCUCCCAGGAGCAGGGGACCACCAAGUUGCCUAAGGAGGGGUGAACUGGCCCAGGUGGGAAAUGGAGCAGGUCAAAACUCCCAUGCUGAUCUGUCGUGGGAUCACACCUGUGAAUAGCCACUGCACUCCAGCCUGGGCAACAUAGUAAGACCCCGUCUCU